UCUAAGGGCAAACCCCAAGCCCUCUCUUAAAUGUGCUGUCCUAUCCCGUACUUCAUCUUCUCAUCAUCCUGCCAAGACCAGGUUAGAAAAAUGAUAACUCUCAUUAUCCUAAUAUAUUUUUUCUCCAAAUCUGUCAACAGCAUAAACUUUGGAAUGCCCUCUUUAUACCAGACAUUGUGCUUUAAGACUCAGCUCUGGCCCUUAAGAAGCUUGAAGAGACAGGACAUGCACAUGCAAAGGCCUGUCCAGCACUCCGACCUUUGGAGGUAUCCAUUGCCCCAGUGUCUGAGUCUUUCUGGAAUUCUGAGACUGAUUGUUUCUCCUGACUGAAUUCAGCUC